rnacentral:rRNA from 1 species
CCCGGGUCUUGUACACACCGCCCGUCACACCAUGGAAGUGGGUUUUACCAGAAGUAGGUAGUCUAACCGCAAGGGGGACGCUUACCACGGUGAGAUUCAUGACUGGGGUG